rnacentral:lncRNA from 1 species
UGCCUGUGGGGAUCAGAUUGUUCGUAUCUGCUGCCCAUUCAGAUUCUGAUCUGCUCAAGGCAAGUGAAUCCUUGAAGAGGGUUUCAGCGUCGGUGCUGACGAAACAAUAAUUGAAUGCUGUGCAUCUGGUUGGUCUCGUUUCUUGCCUCUGAGCUGCAUUAGAUUUUAUCCUUGAAGAGGGUUUCAGCGUCGGUGCUGACGAAACAAUAAUUGAAUGCUGUGCAUCUGGUUGGUCUCGUUUCUUGCCUCUGAGCUGCAUUAGAUUUUUCUCGUGGCACUCAUCCAUCAUAUCCUCUUCAGAUCCAAGUCAAGGAAGAAUUUUUGUGUGAGAAGCCAGUGGAUGUUGAUAGUUUAUAAAAUUAUAUUGGGAUUAUUUGAGUUUCAACAGAUCAGCA